UCUUGGCUUCGGCCGGGAAAGUAAAGUGGCGCACGGGUGAGUAACGCGUGGGUAAUCUGUCCUCAAAUCUGGGAUAACUUCGCGAAAGCGAUGCUAAUACCGGAUAUCGUCCAUGAGACUGUGGUCUUUUGGAUGAAAGGUGACCUCUUCAUGAAAGUUGCCGUUUGGGGAGGGGCCCGCGUACCAUUAGCUUGUUGGUGGGGUAAUGGCCUACCAAGGCUACGAUGGUUAGCUGGUCUGAGAGGAUGAUCANCCACACUGGAACUGAAACACGGUCCANACUCCUACGGGAGGCAGCAGUGAGGAAUUUUGCGCAAUGGGGGAAACCCUGACGCAGCAACGCCGCGUGAGUGAUGAAGACCUUCGGGUCGUAAAGCUCUGUCAAGUGGGAAAAAAUCCUUCCGGCUAAUACCCGGAAGGAUUGAUGGUACCGCUGGAGGAAGCACCGGCUAACUCCGUGCCAGCAGCCGCGGUAAUACGGAGGGUGCAAGCGUUGUUCNGAAUUACUGGGCGUAAAGGGCGUGUAGGCNGUUUGGCAANUCAGAUGUGAAAGCCCUGGGCUCAACCCAGGAAGUGCAUUUGAAACUACCAUCCUANAGUA
rnacentral:rRNA from 1 species